CAAAAGACAAGCAAGGGUCAAAACCGGAAACACUAAGAGAAAGAACGCGCUGAGUGACUAGCAAGCUAGAACCACGACAGGGCAAUGAGCAGUAGUAAAGGUUUCCUUUAAAUACCCUGUUACCUAAAUUGAGACCACGCCCCCAAAAGGUCCGGAAUAGCGGUUCCCGGCACUUCACGUAAAUGCCGACGUCAUGACGUCGACGCUAGCCGUCGCGUCAUAAAAGGGGGAGGAG